AAAAGCUCACCAAGGCUUCGAUCUUUAGCUGGUUUGAGAGGACGAUCAGCCACACUGGGACUGAGACACGGCCCAGACUCCUACGGGAGGCAGCAGUAGGGAAUAUUGGACAAUGGGGGCAACCCUGAUCCAGCAAUGCAGCGUGAGUGACGAAGGCCUUAGGGUUGUAAAACUCUUUCAUCGGUGAGGAUAAUGACAGUAGCCGAAGAAGAAGGACCGGC
rnacentral:rRNA from 1 species